rnacentral:rRNA from 1 species
GGUUAAGUGACUAAGCGUACACGGUGGAUGCCUUGGCAGUCAGAGGCGAUGAAAGGCGUAAUAACUUGCGAUAAGCCCAGAUUAGGUAGUAAUAACCUUUUGAGUCUGGGAUUCCUGAAUGGGGAAACCCACUUACAUAAGUAAGUAUCCUGUUGUGAAUACAUAGCAACAGGAGGCAAACCGGGGGAACUGAAACAUCUAAGUACCCCGAGGAAGAGAAAUCAACCGAGAUUCCGAAAGUAGCGGCGAGCGAAAUUGGAUUAGCCCUUAAGCUUUUAAUGAGACAGAUGAAGGCUCUGGAAAGUGCCGCAAUAAAGGGUGAUAGCCCCGUAAUCGACAUCUCAUAAUCAGUGAAAACGAGUAGGGCGGGACACGUGAUAUCCUGUCUGAAUAUGGGGGGACCAUCCUCCAAGGCUAAAUACUACUGACUGACCGAUAGUGAACCAGUACCGUGAGGGAAAGGCGAAAAGAACCCCUGUGAGGGGAGUGAAAUAGAACCUGAAACCGUGUACGUACAAGCAGUAGGAGCACCUUCGUGGUGUGACUGCGUACCUUUUGUAUAAUGGGUCAGCGACUUAAUUUUAGUAGCAAGGUUAACCGUUUAGGGGAGCCGUAGGGAAACCGAGUCUUAACUGGGCGUACAGUUGCUAGGAUUAGACCCGAAACCAGGUGAUCUAGCCAUGGGCAGGUUGAAGGUUGAGUAACAUCAACUGGAGGACCGAACCGACUAAUGUUGAAAAAUUAGCGGAUGACUUGUGGCUAGGGGUGAAAGGCCAAUCAAACCUGGAGAUAGCUGGUUCUCCCCGAAAGCUAUUUAGGUAGCGCCUCGGACGAAUACUACUGGGGGUAGAGCACUGUUAAGGCUAGGGGGUCAUCCCGACUUACCAACCCUUUGCAAACUCCGAAUACCAGUAAGUACUAUCCGGGAGACACACGGCGGGUGCUAACGUCCGUCGUGGAGAGGGAAACAACCCAGACCGCCAGCUAAGGUCCCAAAGUAUAGCUAAGUGGGAAACGAUGUGGGAAGGCUCAGACAGCCAGGAUGUUGGCUUAGAAGCAGCCAUCAUUUAAAGAAAGCGUAAUAGCUCACUGGUCGAGUCGGCCUGCGCGGAAGAUGUAACGGGGCUAAGCUAUACACCGAAGCUGCGGCUACGUACCUUAGGGUAUGUGGGGUAGGGGAGCGUUCUGUAAGCCGUUGAAGGUGGUCUGUAAGGGCUGCUGGAGGUAUCAGAAGUGCGAAUGCUGACAUGAGUAACGAUAAAGGGAGUGAAAAACUCCCUCGCCGGAAGACCAAGGGUUCCUGUCCAACGUUAAUCGGGGCAGGGUAAGUCGACUCCUAAGGCGAGGCCGAAAGGCGUAGUCGAUGGGAAACGGGUUAAUAUUCCCGUACUUCUUACAAUUGCGAUGGGGGGACGGAGAAGGCUAGGUGGGCCUGGCGACGGUUGUCCAGGUUCAAGUA